UUCGGUUGAUCCUGCCGGACCUGACUGCUAUCGGAUUGGUACUAAGCCAUGCGAGUCAUUGUAGCAAUACAAGGCGGACGGCUCAGUAACACGUAGUCAAUCUACCUUAUGGACGGGGAUAACCUCGGGAAACUGAGAAUAAUACCCGAUAGAUCAUAACUCCCUGGAAUGGUUUAUGGUUCCAAAUGAUUUAUCGCCAUAGGAUGGGACUUGCGGCCUAUCAGCUUGUUGGUGAAGGUAAAUGGCCCACCAAGGCUAUAACAGGUACGGGCUCUGAGAGGAGAAAGCCCGGAGAUGGGUACUGAGACACGGACCCAGGCCCUAUGGGGCGCAGCAGGGCGAGAAACCUUAGCAAUGUGCGAAAGCACGACUAGGUUAAUCCGAGUGAUUUCUGCUGAAGAAAUCUUUUGUCAGUUCUAAAUCUACUGGUGAAUAAGGGGUGGGCAAGUCUGGUGUCAGCCGCCGCGGUAAUACCAGCACCUCGAGUGGUUAGGAGGUUUAUUGGGCCUAAAGCAUCCGUAGCCGGCUAUGCAAGUCUCCGGUUAAAUCCAUCUGCUUAACAGAUGGGCUGCCGGAGAUACUACAUAGCUAGGGAGCGGGAGAGGUAGACGGUAUUCGGUGGGUAGGGGUAAAAUCCUCUGAUCCAUUGAGGACCACCAGUGGCGAAGGCGGUCUACCAGAACGCGUUCGACGGUGAGGGAUGAAAGCUGGGGGAGCAAACCGGAUUAGAUACCCGGGUAGUCCCAGCUGUAAACGAUGCAAACUCGGUGAUGCACUGGCUUAUGGCCAGUGCAGUGCCGCAGGGAAGCCGUUAAGUUUGCCGCCUGGGAAGUACGGUCGCAAGACUGAAACUUAAAGGAAUUGGCGGGGGAGCGCCACAAGGGGUGAACCUGCGGUUCAAUUGGAGUCAACGCCGG
rnacentral:rRNA from 1 species